UCCCACGUGGUCUAGUGGCUAGGAUAUCUGGCUUUCACCCAGAAGACUCGGGUUCGAUUCCCGGUGUAAGAA
rnacentral:tRNA from 1 species